AUUGACCUGUCACGUGUGCAUUUGUUUGUGUGUGUGUGUGUGUGUGUGCGCAUGUGUGUGUGUGUGUGCAUGUGCGCAUGUGUGUGUAUGUGGGUGGGGGGUUGUGUUUGUGUUUUUUUUUAAAUAAUGUGAAAAAAUUAAUUAUGGAAAAGAAAUAUAAAUAUAUCUCAUUGAAUACCAAUAAUAAUAAUAAUAAUAAUAAUAAUAAAUUAUUUAUAGGCACCUUUUAGGGAACCGAAGGUCACCAUGCAUACACAGUUAAAUGAAAUCAAGUAAUACAAUAAAAAUAACAGAACAUAAAACAUAAAUGAAAAUGGCAAGUUAAAGUGAAUAGGCAGUCCAAAAUAGGUGUUUUGAGUUGGGAAUGGAAGAGGGUUAAUGAGUCUGUGUUUCAGAGGUCGAGCGGUAGCACACAAGACAUGUUUUGUUGUUGGUUGUCAGUAUACAUACAGCAUUUAUAAAAUAAAUACAUUUAUUAAAUAUGGGCGGCACGGUGGACGACUGCCUCACAGUUCUGAGGACCGGGGUUCAAAUCCCAGCCCCUCCUAUGUGGAGUUUUCAUGUUCUUCCCGUGCCUGGGUGGGUUUUCUCCGGCCACUCCGGUUUCCUCCCACAUCCCAAAAACAUGCGUGGUAGGUUGAUUGAAGACUAUAAAUUGCCCGUAGGUGUGAAUGUGAGUGCGAAUGGUUGUUUCUUUCUAUGUGCCCUGCGAUUGGCUGGCGACCGGUUCAGGGUGUACCCCGCCUCCCGCCCAAAGAUAGCUGGGAUAGGCUCCAGCAGCCCGCGACCCUAGUGUGUCAUGGGUGUGUGUUCUGGUUGUUGUCUUCCCCCUGUCUCGUACACACCUGCUCAUGAGAGCAUCUUCCCCACCUGUGCCUCAUUUACCCUAAUUACCCCAUGCAUUUAACCUCAUGUCUCAUGUUUUCUGGUCCCCAGUUCGUUGUACCUUGUUGUCACUUUCCAGCAUUCCUUGUUUCCACGUCACCGACUCAUAGUAAGACGAGACCCUGUUCUGAUUAUUGACCUUGCCUUUUUGCCUCACGUUUUUUGGAUACUGUUGCCUUUACGGAUUGCCUGCCUGUGUACCGACUUCUGCCCGUUUAUUAAACCUCUCUUUUUGAAACUGUCCAUCUGAAUUGGAGUCGUGCAUUUUGGGUCCUGUCCUUUGUUCCAUUCAUGACAAAACGAACUGGCCAUAACAUGGACCCAGCAGACUCAUACCCGGUGCCCUUCAAGCGCAGGGUCAACGCAUCUCGAAGCAGGAUGAGCAGCUUGCUGCCCUCCACCUUCAUCUAAAGGGACUGUCAGAGCAUCAGGACACUAUGAUGAGACAGGUGGUCUCACAGGUUGAAGUUCUAAUGACUAUGGUUCAGGAACCAGCUGGGACAGCACCCGAUGCCGCCACUGUACAACCGUUUCCAUGUGAAGCAGUCACCAUGCAGCCACCUGCCACAUCCACUGCUGUCUGCCCACAGCUCUCUUGACCGGAGAGGUUCUCUGGAGAUUCUGGGAAUAUUAAGCUGUUCAUCACUCAGUGCGAACUCCACUUUGAGCUGCAAGGAGCUGCCUUCCCCACCGAGCGGUGGGGAAGGCAUUUCCCACCUGACUGGUCGCAAUUCCGCCGCAUGUCAUUCGUGGGCUUCUUAUGUAAAAACUAUGGAGCAAGUUUUUCAGUAUUCCACACCAGAUCGUGAGGCAGCUCGCUCCCUUGUCACCUUAAAACAAGGCAAGCGCAGGGUGUCAGAUUACGCAAUUGACUUUCGCAUUCUAGCAGCUGAGAGUCAGUGGAACAACAGGGCACUACUCGAUGCAUCUUUUCAAGGACUAUCCCCCGCCGUCAAGGAUCAUUUGGUCCCACUAGACCUGCCGACCGACUUGGACACUCUCAUCGCUUCUCGCCAUAAAGAUCGACAAAAGGGUUUUGGAUCGCAAGUUGGACGGAGAUCGGUGGAAGGAUGCGCCACUGCGCACUUGGAGGACAAGCCUCAGUGACCAGCCAAACCAAGGCAGAUCCCCUCUUGCCUGUCACAAUCCACUGGCUAGCAUCACCAUGGAUGAACCCAUGCAACUGGGCAGGUUCCGUCUCUACCCUGAGAAACGUCAACGCCGGCUGAGGGAAGGGCGGUGCUUCUACUGCGGGCAGUUGGGUCUUUCUGUGAGCAACUGUCACGUCAAAGUUGCCGGUGCCGGUAACAAGGUUACGGGAGCGUCCCCACCUGUUGCCAUGACAUAAAAGAAGACCUUAUGACUGUGCAGUUGACUUGCUGCCUGGAACCACACCUCCACGGGAGAGGUUGUUGUUUCUUUCAGGGCCGGAACACAAGGCCAUGAAGGAGUAUGUGGAUGAAUCACUGGCAGCCGGGAUCAUUCGCCCAUCUUCAUCCCCUGCGGGAGAAGGAUUUUUCUUUGUGGACAAGAAGGACAAGACCCUGCGACCCUGUAUCGAUUACCGGGGUCUCAAUGAAAUAACUGUGAAAAACAGGUACCCUCUUCCUCUCAUCUCCACCGCCUUUGAGUUCCUGGAGGGAGCCAAGGUUUUCACCAAACUAGACUUAAGAAAUGCGUAUCAUCUAGUCAGGAUAAGGGAGGGGGAUGAAUGGAAAAUGGCAUUUCAGAAUCAGAAUCAGAAUCAUCUUUAUUUGCCAAGUAUGUCACCAACGGCACAUUUUUGGUGGCCUAAUAUUAGACGAGAUGUUAUCCAUUACAUCAAUGCAUGCCAGGUAUGUGCCGCUAACAAGCCCUCUCGUCAACGUCCUUCUGGGGAAUUGCGACCCUUGCCAAUACCACAACGUCCUUGCUCAGACAUUUCCGUAGACUUUGUGACAGGAUUACCGGCCUCUAAAGGAAAUACCACCAUUCUCACAGUUGUUGACAGGUUCUCUAAGAUGGCACACUUCAUUGCACUGCCAAAACUCCCCUCAGCUAAAGAAACUGCCGAGUUGAUGAUAAACCAGGUAUUCAAGUUUCAUGGUUUUCCAAAGAAUGUGGUAUCGGAUAGAGGACCCCAAUUUGUUUCACGAUUUUGGAAGGAGUUUUGCAAAUUAAUAGGUGCCACCGUCACUCUGUCUUCUGGGUUUCAUCCUGAAACCAAUGGACUGUGAGGCUGAACCAGGACCUGGAGACUGGACUCCGAUGUCUCGCGUCACAGGAGCCACAAUCCUGGAUUCAGAAGCCGGUUUGGGUCGAGUUCUCUCCACUCUGCAUCCACUGGUCUAUCGCCUUUUCACAUUGUGCAUGGUUAGCUACCAUCUCUGUUUCUUGCCAUAGCCCCGGAAUCCACGGUUCCAUCUGCAUUGACCUUGGUGAGACACUGCAGGGAGCCCGCCAAAUGCUGCUUCGCCAAGGACUGUCCUACAAGACAGCAGCUGACCGUAGGAGGACACCGGCCCCGAACUACAAAGUGGGUCAGCGAGUUUGGCUCUCCACCAAGCAUAUUCCACUCCGGGUGGAGUGCCGUAAGCUCGCUCUCAGGUUCGUUGGGCCCUUCCCCAUCACGAAGGUCAUCAACCCUGUCACCAUGAAGCUUAGGCUCCCAAGGUCGAUGCGGGUCCACCCUGCAUUUCACGUCAGCCUGCUCAAGCCCGCCCGUGAGUCCCUUCUAGUCCCGCCUUCCAGCCCCCCCCCCCCCUCCUCGUCCCCGUUUUGUGGACGGGGGCCCUGUCGGGCCUUCACCGUGAGGUGGCUGUUGUCGUCUCGUCGGAGGGGGAGGGGGUUUCAAUAUCUGGUGGAUUGGGAGGGCUACGGUCCUGAGGAACGUUUAUGGGUGCCGUCUGGAUUUAUCGUUGAUGACUCACUCAUUCAGGACUUCCACGUUGCGCAUCCUGGGGCUCCGGGGCCAUCUGGGGCCAGCCGUUAAGAGGGGGGGGGGGUUGGGGUACUGUCAUGGGUUAGUGGUCUGGUUGUUGUCUUCCCCCUGUCUCGUACACACCUGCUCCUGAGCACAUCUUCCCCACCUGUGCCUCGUUUACCCUAAUUACCCCAUGCAUUUAACCUCGUGUCUCAUUCUUUCUGGUUGCCAGUUCGUUGUACCUUGUUGUCACGUUCCAGCAUUCCUUGUUUCCACGUCACCGACUCAUAGUAAGACUAGACCAUGUUCUGAUUAUUGACCUUGCAUUUUUGCCUCAUGUUUUUUGGAUACUGUUGCCUUUACGGAUUGCCUGCCUGUGUACCAACCUCUGCCCAUUUAUUAAACCUCUCUCUUUGAAACUGUC